GACGAACGCUGGCGGCGUGCCUAAUACAUGCAAGUUGAGCGCUGAAGGUUGGUACUUGUACCGACUGGAUGAGCAGCGAACGGGUGAGUAACGCGUGGGGAAUCUGCCUUUGAGCGGGGGACAACAUUUGGAAACGAAUGCUAAUACCGCAUAAAAACUUUAAACACAAGUUUUAAGUUUGAAAGAUGCAAUUGCAUCACUCAAAGAUGAUCCCGCGUUGUAUUAGCUAGUUGGUGAGGUAAAGGCUCACCAAGGCGAUGAUACAUAGCCGACCUGAGAGGGUGAUCGGCCACAUUGGGACUGAGACACGGCCCAAACUCCUACGGGAGGCAGCAGUAGGGAAGCUUCGGCAAUGGACGAAAGUCUGACCGAGCAACGCCGCGUGAGUGAAGAAGGGUUUCGGAUCGGAAAACUCGGUUGGUAGAGAAGAACGUUGGUGAGAGUGGAAAGCUCAUCAAGUGACGGUAACUACCCAGAAAGGGACGGCUAACUACGUG
rnacentral:rRNA from 1 species